rnacentral:ncRNA from 1 species
GCCCCGUCUUAGCUUGAGUAAGAUAAUAACGUAGUUCACUUAGCAAUUACGCAGUAGGUAUUUGUGCUUAUUUGCAUAAAUAGAAGGGAAUUUAUACGGUGUUCAGUUUUGUAAUAGCUAACACAUAUUUAAGGAACCCAACA